rnacentral:rRNA from 1 species
ACGCUGGCGGCGUGCUUAACACAUGCAAGUCGAACGAUAAAGCCUAGCUUGCUAGGUGGAUUAGUGGCGAACGGGUGAGUAAUACGUGAGUAACCUACCUUUAACUCUGGGAUAAGCCUGGGAAACUGGGUCUAAUACCGGAUACGACCAAUCUCCGCAUGGAGUGUUGGUGGAAAGCGUUAUGUAGUGGUUAUAGAUGGGCUCACGGCCUAUCAGCUUGUUGGUGAGGUAACGGCUCACCAAGGCGACGACGGGUAGCCGGCCUGAGAGGGUGACCGGCCACACUGGGACUGAGACACGGCCCAGACUCCUACGGGAGGCAGCAGUGGGGAAUAUUGCACAAUGGGCGCAAGCCUGAUGCAGCGACGCCGCGUGAGGGAUGACGGCCUUCGGGUUGUAAACCUCUGUUAGCAGGGAAGAAGAGAAAUUGACGGUACCUGCAGAGAAAGCGCCGGCUAACUACGUGCCAGCAGCCGCGGUAAUACGUAGGGCGCGAGCGUUGUCCGGAAUUAUUGGGCGUAAAGAGCUUGUAGGCGGUUUGUCGCGUCUGCUGUGAAAGGCCGGGGCUUAACCCCGUGUAUUGCAGUGGGUACGGGCAGACUAGAGUGCAGUAGGGGAGACUGGAACUCCUGGUGUAGCGGUGGAAUGCGCAGAUAUCAGGAAGAACACCGAUGGCGAAGGCAGGUCUCUGGGCUGUAACUGACGCUGAGAAGCGAAAGCAUGGGGAGCGAACAGGAUUAGAUACCCUGGUAGUCCAUGCCGUAAACGUUGGGCACUAGGUGUGGGGGACAUUCCACGUUUUCCGCGCCGUAGCUAACGCAUUAAGUGCCCCGCCUGGGGAGUACGGCCGCAAGGCUAAAACUCAAAGAAAUUGACGGGGGCCCGCACAAGCGGCGGAGCAUGCGGAUUAAUUCGAUGCAACGCGAAGAA